ACUGACCACCAGUACAUUGCGCGCAUACAGAGCACACCCUGACGAAUAAAACCACCGAACUGCUUGCAAACGAUAUCACAUAGUGGUCAGAAGUCGCAACGACCAGUGAUUUGCCAGUGAAGUUAAAAUACGGCAAUAUAAAGCAAUAAAAUCUGUGUGGUUUGAACAGUGCAACGAAGGACGUAUAUCUUCCAACAAGUGGAUAGCCGAGGAUUGGUGAAUUCCAUUUUUUUGUUCUAUUGUUGCUGUUCACAAGAUGGGCGCGCGCCUAGAGUGAUCGGGUGGUAAAAAUGAGAAUCGGCCUAUUUGUUUCACCAACAUUGAAUCGCACAAUACAGUGGUGGUGACCAAGGUAUCGCAUGCAUCUCGUCAGAAGUUAUUCCGUGGUCCAAGGAAUGGAUGCCGCCACGAAUAGCAUCGUUGCCAAGCGGAGGAUCGCUGUCUGUGGAGCUAUCCAGACAGCCUCAAGCAUGCUUCAACCGCCGCGGGAUACACGGUAUACUGACACACUUCCACACUAGGAUUAAGGGACUGUAGGUUAGGGAUAUGCAGAGUAGGAGUAAGUAGAACAUUUUUUUGAUUAUUUAUUCUAAAUCUCAUUUUUCUUAUUAAACUAUUAUAUAUGUGAAAUUGUAACUCUUUCUUUGUUAUAUUUGGGAGAUUCGGGAGACUUUCGGCGUUUUUAUAUGAUUUCUAGCUAAAUCGCGAACCUGGUCAAUUGGUUUGAUGGGAAGGUGAUUAUUUCUAUCAAGCGAGUUAAUCUUUCGAAUUCUAUCAUUGUCUCAUGCCCAGCUGGAUCUUAAUUCACUGGA